AUGAUAGUAUUAGUAAUGGAAAUCCAUUUCUUUAUGAUUAAUUAUUAAAUAUAUCGCUAUAGGAAUAUGAUGCCUGUGAGUUGGCUAAAAGCUAUUCAGGACCAAGAUGUGAUAUUUUAAUAGAUCAGGGAAAGAGUGACAACUUCUUUGUUGAUGGUCAACUUCUUCCGGAUAACUUUGUCAAUGCAUGCAAGGAAAAUCCAUCCUGCAGUGUGGCUGUACGAAUGCAAGAGGGAUACGACCAUAGUUACUACUUCAUAUCGACAUUUGUAGAAGAUCAUAUUAAGCAUCAUGCCAAGUACCUCAAAAACUGAGAAUCUCACAGAAAAGGACUGCAAAUCGUUUUUCAGCAAGCGUAGAGGAAAUUCUGAAGUGAAACAGAAUUAAAAUGUGAUUUUUGUAGAGAUUGAUUGUUCUAAUGUCCUAGAGAAAUGAUUAUUGUGAUUUUUUAUCAGUAAAAUUCGAGACAACUGUGUUUGUAUUACAUCAAAUUACAAAUUGUGAUUCAUAUGACUGAUUUGGUAUGCGUCUCUGAUGACUAUAAA